UCCACCUGGUGCCUCCUAGUGUCUGCCCUCCUUUGUCAUGGUGGCCCAGCUGUCAGUGACAGAAAAGGAUAGUGAGUGGCUUGGCCCGGACCAGUCAGUCCGCAGACCACAGCCUUGCGGAGGGGAUAGAGAGUUUUUGUUGCUGGCACAGUUUUCAUUUUUCUACAAAUGCAGAAGUCAUGAGAAGCGAGCCCAGGCCACACAACGCCUAUCAUUCGGAGCCUGCGAAAGAGCAACUCUUCCAUUUCCUAGUGAGCACGCGGAGGAAGGAGACAGGCACCCUGGGCCAGCUCCUCCUAUGGGCCAGCUGUGGUCGGCUGGCGCCCUCUGAAUCUAUCAUCGAUGAGGAAAAGACAAGGAACUACGGGCUACCGUUGUGUAGGACUGUUCUCCAGGGAAACUGGCGGCAUCUUCAGGAGUUUGGGCCACAUGUAUGCCGGCGCCAUGGAGGCCAGAGAAGGCAUCAGGUCCCCCUGGAGCUGGAGUGAGUUUCAGUGAGCUUGCCACGUUCUCCAGAGUCCCCGUGCUGCAUCCUUGUCACCCUCACCAUUGUCACCCUCACCUGGAGACCUGGAGAAAUGGCUCAGAGGUUAGCACUGUCUGCUCUUCCAGGAGUCCCGAGUUCAAUUCUCAGCAACCACAUGGUGGUUCAUAACCAUCUAUAAUGAGAUCUGGUGCCCUCUUCUGGCCUGCAGGCAUAAUGUGGGCAGAACACUGUAUACAUAAUAAGUAAAUCUUUAAAAAAAUAUAUAGAACUCUUAUUAACCUCUAAGAGGUUGUCGUUUCUCUUUAUGUUCAUAAAUGGUGAUAACACUUGCAAAAGACACUUACAGCUCAUUCUUCAUUGUCUUUCUGAUAUCUUCCAAAUGA